UACGGAGGGUGCAAGCGUUAUCCGGAUUCACUGGGUUUUAAAGGGUGCGUAGGCGGAGGCAGGUAAGUCAGUGGUGAAAUCCUAGAGCUUAACUCUAGAACUGCCAUUGAUACUAUCUGUCUUGAAUAUUGUGGAGGUAAGCGGAAUAUGUCAUGUAGCGGUGAAAUGCUUAGAUAUGACAUAGAACACCUAUUGCGAAGGCAGCUUACUACGCAUAUAUUGACGCUGAGGCACGAAAGCGUGGGGAUCAAACAGG
rnacentral:rRNA from 1 species